UACGGGGGGGGUAAGCGUUGUUCGGAAUUACUGGGCGUAAAGGGCUCGUAGGCGGCCAACUAAGUCAGACGUGAAAUCCCUCGGCUUAACCGGGGAACUGCAUCUGAUACUGGAUGGCUUGAGUUCGGGAGAGGGAUGUGGAAUUCCAGGUGUAGCGGUGAAAUGCGUAGAUAUCUGGAGGAACACCGGUGGCGAAGGCGGCAUCCUGGACCGACACUGACGCUGAGGAGCGAAAGCCAGGGGAGCAAACGGG
rnacentral:rRNA from 1 species